AACAUCGCGCACCUGCGGGAACCUGCGGAGGGAUCAUUACAGAGUUGCAAAACUCCCUAAACCAUUGUGAACGUUACCUAAACCGUUGCUUCGGCGGGCGGCCCGGGUCCUUCCCGGCGCCCCUCGGCCCUCGCGGGCGCCCGCCGGAGGUAAACCAAACUAUUGCAUUGUAUGGCCUCUCUGAGUCUUCUGUACUGAAUAAGUCAAAACUUUCAACAACGGAUCUCAGAUCGGAAGAGC
rnacentral:misc_RNA from 1 species